rnacentral:tmRNA from 1 species
GGGGAUGUAAAGGUUUCGACGGGGAUUUCAAACCUUGGUAAGCGAGCGGCGGUGCGGAACCGCCAUAAAAUCCGCAACUUUAAAAUUAACUGACAACAAAACAGUUGCUUUAGCAGCCUGAGUGCUGCUCGUUCCUGCACAGAGUACCUCGGCUGUGUAAGGGACGUCGAUUAGAGGUAAAUGUGAACAGGGGAGCGCUCCGAACCCUGUCACAGCUUAGGAGCUGCCAAAGUGCAUAGCCUGUUGAUGGGCGAUGCACCGAGGGAGAUUUAAAACACCAACUGCGCUCGGAGAAACCCUUGGCAAGAUUUUUUCGGACAGGGGUUCGAUUCCCCUCAUCUCCACCA